AUGAUUCAGUCUUUCUAUUGUGAGUACCGACUUGACGGAGAUUAUGGAGAACUCGUCAAACUCCAUCAUCAUUCAUAUGCUAGACUUGCUCGACUCGAGUUUAUUUGUGAAUCUCAUGAAAUUUUUUUUUCAAUGUUCACACUUAUUUUGGCCAAAGACUUUCUGAAUUCAAUCUCACAGAUCGCAUAGGACUUCUCUUUUUCUGUCAAGAUCGAUAGAUUCCAUCUAGGUGCAUCAUACUCCAAACAGUGAAUCUGAACCUACUAAAGUCAACGUACACAGUAAGAACUCAAAUGGUUAGGGACCAAAAGAAUGUGCAGUCAAAUCCAGUAGCCUCACUGCGAAUAGCCAAUGACACCGUAGGUCAAAGGACCACUCACACCACUGCAGUGUCGAGAAGACCACUAAUGUGUGAGUAGACAUCCAUGUGGUUUUCGUGUUGGUCAUGCUUAGUGUAAGUUCUCUAAUAACCACCUGCACUUUCAUCCCAAGGUCUCUACACCGCAGAUUCGAGACUCAUCUGCCCACAAGGGAGGUGAACCGUGCAUCGAUCUCAAAUGGAUUGAUCACUAUCCUCUAUGAUAAUCCGUUGAUCGGAAGUAUUUAGAAAUUAAUUACUAAUUAAUGUAUGUCUCAAAUUCUUAACUCUUUAAGAAUAUAUAAAAAUUAUUUUUAUUAAUUUUUAAGACAAAUCAUAGACACAUAUACA
rnacentral:lncRNA from 1 species